GAGUUUGAUCCUGGCUCAGAUUGAACGCUGGCGGCAUGCCUUACACAUGCAAGUCGAACGGCAGCACGGGAGCUUGCUCCUGGUGGGCGAGUGGCGAACGGGUGAGUAAUGCAUCGGAACGUAUCCUGGAGUGGGGGAUAACGUAGCGAAAGUUACGCUAAUACCGCAUAUUCUGUGAGCAGGAAAGCGGGGGACCUUCGGGCCUCGCGCUCUUGGAGCGGCCGAUGUCGGAUUAGCUAGUUGGUGAGGUAAAGGCUCACCAAGGCGACGAUCCGUAGCAGGUCUGAGAGGAUGAUCUGCCACACUGGAACUGAGACACGGUCCAGACUCCCACGGGAGGCAGCAGUGGGAAUUUUGGACAAUGGGGGCAACCCUGAUCCAGCCAUGCCGCGUGAGUGAAGAA
rnacentral:rRNA from 1 species